AUGAGCUGUGACGAGAUGAGCCGCCGCCGCCCACGCUCGCCGCCGCCGGUGCCGCCGCUGGACGAUGACAACCUUCUCUCCGAGAUCCUCCUCCGCCUCCCACCAGAUCCGUCCUCCCUCCCUCGCGCCUCCCUCGUCUCCAAGCGCUGGCUCGGUCUUGUCUCCGACCCCGGCUUCUCCCGCCGCUUCCGGCUCCACCACCGCGGCAACCCUCCUCUCCUCGGUUUCUUCGACCCCUUGCACUUCGUACCUACAAUGGAUCCCCCCAAUCGUGUCCCGGAUGGCCGCUUCUCCUUGUGCCCAGACGGCAAAGAUUGGGGCGGCAUCUUCAUGCCCUUGGGAUCCCGCCAUGGCCUCCUACUCGUCUUCCACCUUUCGCGGAAGCUGCUCCUGGUGUCGGACCCCUUCAACGUCGACCAGCACCGCCUUGCCGUUCCCCCGGAGUUCGAUAUGGAGUCGGCCCGGUUCAGCGGGGCGGUGUUUCGCGCCACCGGAGACAUCCUACACUUCCAGGUGGUGUUGGUAACCACAGAGACAGACGAGCAGCAGCAUACAAGGGUCAUCGCCCGUGUUUACUCGUCGGAGACUGGAGGAUGGGGCGAUCGCAUCUCAACACCACUACCAUCCAAACUUCCCACCAAGAGUCGUAUGGACUUUACUAUGGGUGUGCUAGUUGGUCAUUCCCUUUACUGGCUGUUCAAUGAUAGAUCAGCAACAGCUGAAAUUUUGGAUGGCAUCCUUGAGUUUGAUUUGGAGAGGCAGAUCCUAGCUGUGAAACCGGUGCCAGUGGAUAUUCUCAAGAAAAACAUCUACCAAUUCCAGGUUAUGCGGGCAGAUGGUGGUGGCCUUGGCAUUCUCUUUUUGUCAAAUUUCAGUGCCCAGUUAUGGAAGAUGGAGACUGAUUCUGAUGGCGUUGCUUCAUGGGUUCUGGGAAAAACUGUUGAACUGGACAUGUUACUUUCCCUGAAUACAGAAGAUGGGGAGUCCCUGAUUCUACAAGGGUUUGCUGAAUACAAUAAUGUGGUGUUCCUACGGACACACACCAACCUCUUCACGAUCCAGCUUGAGUCACUGCAGUUCAAGAAAGUUUUUAAACCCAACUUCAUGACUCACUAUCAUCCGUUCGAAAGUGUCUAUGCUGCAGGCACGGGCAUUGGUGGUGGACAUGAUGGAGCUGAACUUUUGCGCAAUACAUAA
rnacentral:rRNA from 1 species